AGUUCAUGGGUAUCUUAUCGUAUUGCGGACCAAGUUGGGACAUCUGAUGUGAUUAAAAACGAAGCAUUACAGUUUCAGAAAACCUCACCAAUUUUUAACCCCCUCCCACACCUUCGCAUCACAUGGAUGACCUCCGUGUUGACAAAUGUCAAGACUGACAAGUCGUUCCUGGAAGAAACAGUUGGCGUAGAGUUCUAGAGGGUGUCCGUCGGAUGUGAACCAAUUAUAUAUCAUUGAUGUAACCAAAAACUAAGUAUUACAGUUUGUGUAUAGAUGUCUUCUCGUAUCGUGGACCAAGUUGGACCAUGUUGGGUCUUCUGAUGUCAUCAAAAACUAAGUAUUACAGUUUGUGUAUCAUCACAGAGUUCAUAGGUGUCUUCUCGUAUUGUGGACCGAGUUUGG